UUUUAGCCCUGAUUGAAACGGUAUCCUAUUGUUGUGGGGUUCACAAUAAUAGAUAUAGUGUAAAGAAGGACUAGAG
rnacentral:sRNA from 1 species